rnacentral:rRNA from 1 species
ACUCCUACGGGAGGCAGCAGUGGGGAAUAUUGCACAAUGGGCGAAAGCCUGAUGCAGCCAUGCCGCGUGUGUGAAGAAGGCUCUAGGGUUGUAAAGCACUUUCAGCGAGGAGGAAAGGUUAGUCAUUAAUACUGGCUAGCUGUGACGUUACUCGCAGAAGAAGCACCGGCUAACUCCGUGCCAGCAGCCGCGGUAAUACG